rnacentral:tRNA from 2 species
CGGGACGUGGCGCAGCCUGGUAGCGCGCUUGACUGGGGGUCAAGAGGUCGCAGGUUCAAAUCCUGUCGUCCCGAC